rnacentral:lncRNA from 1 species
CUCUCUCUCUCUCUCUCUCUCUCUCUCUCUCUCUCUCUGCUCACUCGCUCUCUCUCUCUCCCCCUCUCUCUCCAUUUCUCUCUCUCGCGCGUGCUGCGGGCGCGAGUCGCCUGCACGCAGGCCCCCCCCAUCUCUCUCUUUUUCUCUCCCUUUCUCUCUUCCUCUCUUCCAGGCUCUCUCUCUCUCUCUCCUUCUACUCUGCUCUCUCUCUCUCUCCCUCUGUUCUCUCUCUCUCCCCCUCUCUCUGUAUGCUCUCUCUCCCUCCUCCCUCUGUUCUCUCUCUCUCCCUCUCUCUCUCUCACGCGAGGCCCCCGCAAAAUGCGGGGAGCUCGCCGUACAAACUCUCGAUUCCAUAUAUAUAUAGAUUAUACUAGUUAAGUGCACGUGCAAUACACGUCGCACAAAUAUUAAAAAAUAAAAUUUUUAUAAAUAAAUAUUAUAGAUUCGAUAUAUAAUAUUUAAUCAUUACCAAAAUAAAAUAACAAAAAUAAGAAAUAGAAUUACAAUAUCAUCAAAGAAAGAAUAUAAAAUCUAUCAUGCUAUCAUUGAAAAAAAAAACACAAAAUUUGUCACUAAACUAACUGAAAAUGUCACAAUCAGUCUCCUUUCCGUAUAAAUUGCACGGAAAGUAAGAAAAAUAAUAAGUAAAUAUUAAUAAAUCAUUAGAAUAGAUAAAAUUAAUAAAAAAUAUAAAUUUAAUAGGAAUUCAUAUAAGUAAAUAAAAAUUUUUAGCUUAAUUUUAUUUCUUAAGUUUUUGGAAUAGAUGGAUUAAGCACAAUUUUACUCGCAAAACUUUGCUAAAUAAAUUGAUCCUGAUAAAUAAAUUUAAAAUACUACAGAAAAAAUAAAAUAUUAAAAAGUACAUUUAUCCUAAUUAUCGAUAUUAACGUACACUGUUUCAAUACAACAACUAAUUGUUUGCAAUAGCGUCUCUUUACAUGCCAAUGUGUGUUAGCACUAUCUUGUCCUAGAGGAUCAAUCUAAUUCGAUUCAUACUUCAAUCCAUCCAAAUAAUUAGUUAUUAAUAAUUUUUUCAUGCCAAUGUGUGUUAGCACUAUCUUGUUCUAGAGGAUCAAUCUAAUUCGAUUCAUACUUUAAUAAUAAAUGAGAUUUUUCAUUUAUCGAUUAAACCCUUUUGUUUGACGAUGUUCUUGUGUGUAAUAUAAUUAUAAAUGUACUCGUCAAAUUUCAGGAGAAAACGAGUUAAAACGGAGAAGUUACGCGACCCGGAAGUUCGA